rnacentral:rRNA from 1 species
AACGAACGCUGGCGGCAUGCCUAACACAUGCAAGUCGAACGAGACCUUCGGGUCUAGUGGCGCACGGGUGCGUAACGCGUGGGAACCUGCCCUUAGGUUCGGCAUAACUCCCCGAAAGGGGUGCUAAUACCGGAUCAUGUCUUCGGACCAAAGAUUUAUCGCCUUUGGAUGGGCCCGCGUGGGAUUAGCUAGUUGGUAGGGUAAAAGCCUACCAAGGCGACGAUCCAUAGCUGGGUUGAGAGGAUGAUCAGCCACACUGGGACUGAGACACGGCCCAGACUCCUACGGGAGGCAGCAGUGGGGAAUAUAGGACAAUGGGCGAAAGCCUGAUCCAGCAAUGCCGCGUGAGUGAUGAAGGCCGUAGGGUUGUAAAGCUCUUUUACCCGGGAUGAUAAUGACAGUACCGGGAGAAUAAGCUCCGGCUAACUCCGUG